AGGAAACCGUGGGGGUGCUCAUUCUGGGCUGAGAAAAUACCCCUCGAACCUGAUCGGGUAAUUCCGGCGCAGGGAACGGGUGAGUUUACAGC
rnacentral:ncRNA from 2 species